rnacentral:lncRNA from 1 species
AUCAGCAAAUAUGACACCUAAGAAACUAGCUUCACAACUUGUUAUUUUGCUGGAUAUAUGAUAUUCCAGUGACUAUGGCUAUGUAAUAGUUACUCCAAAACCUGGUAGCAUAAAGCAACCACUUAUUAAGUCCAUGGAUUCUGUGGACAGGAAUGUAUACAGAACACAAAGCAGACAUCUUAUCUCUGCUUCCUAAUGUCGAGGGGCUCAGCUGGAAUAAUCUGAAGGCUCCUUCAUGUCUUUGUUGGGAGCCUGACACUGGCUGAUGGCCAAGAAGGUAGUUGGAUUUGGGUCACAUACCCAUGUGUGGCCUCUACUUGUGCCUGAGCUCCAAAGGAAAGACAGGACAGAUUCUUAUGACCUGAAACAGCACCUCAACUCUUACCUUGGAUAUUUCUACAUGAAGAAUCUGCUCUGAAACUAUAGCAAACAAUCACAGAGUGUUUGAGUGUGAGUCCAGACUGGUUCGGGAAGACCAAGAAGCAAUGAUGAUGUCUGUUUUUGUCAAAUGUCUGAAAACUAUUUUUAUUUUUCUAAAACUUUGUUCAGAAGUCUCAAUAUUGUAGUGUAUAGAGAUGUACACUAAUUUAGUGAUAUGAAGAUGAAGGGCUUUAAGCCUGUGUUCCUUGCAGGCAUCUCAGUACCUAGGAACUCCAAAGAACAAACUGUUGCUCGUGCAAAAUUAAAUUUCAUAAAACAGCAAAGAAUGGUGCCAGAGUUUAAUUAAUAGGAUAAGGUUAUGAGUCAGACUGUGUACCCCAAAAAAGAUAUGUUGAACUCCUAAGCCCCUGAACCACAGAAUGGGAUCCUAUUCAGAAAUAGGCACAGUGUCCGGGCACC